rnacentral:rRNA from 1 species
AGCGAACGCUGGCGGCAGGCCUAACACAUGCAAGUCGAACGAACCUUUCGGGGUUAGUGGCGGACGGGUGAGUAACACGUGGGAACGUGCCGUUAGGUUCGGAAUAACUCAGGGAAACUUGUGCUAAUACCGGAUGUGCUCUUCGGGGGAAAGAUUAAUCGCCGUUAGAGCGGCCCGCGUCUGUUUAGCUAGUUGGUUGAGGUAAUGGCUCACCAAGGCGACGAUCAGUAGCUGGUCUGAGAGGAUGAUCAGCCACAUUGGGACUGAGACACGGCCCAAACUCCUACGGGAGGCAGCAGUGGGGAAUCUUGCGCAAUGGGCGAAAGCCUGACGCAGCCAUGCCGCGUGAAUGAUGAAGGUCUUAGGAUUGUAAAAUUCUUUCACCGGGGACGAUAAUGACGGUACCCGGAGAAGAAGCCCCGGCUAACUUCGUG